UUUCUGGUGGUUUAGUGGCUCCUGUGCUCUCACCGCUGAGGCCCGGGUUCGAUUCCCGGGCAGGAAA